rnacentral:rRNA from 1 species
CACGGAGUUAGCCGGAGCUUAUUCUCCAGGUACUGUCAUUAUCAUCCCUGGUAAAAGAGCUUUACAACCCUAAGGCCCUCAUCACUCACGCGGCAUUGCUGGAUCAGGCUUUCGCCCAUUGUCCAAUAUUCCCCACUGCUGCCUCCCGUAGGAGUCUGGGCCGUGUCUCAGUCCCAGUGUGGCUGAUCAUCCUCUCAGACCAGCUAUGGAUCGUCGCCUUGGUAGGCCUUUACCCCACCAACUAGCUAAUCCAACGCGGGCCCAUCUAAAGGCGAUAAAUCUUUGGUCCGAAGACAUCAUCCGGUAUUAGCAGUCGUUUCCAACUGUUAUUCCGAACCUAAAGGCAGGUUCCCACGCGUUACGCACCCGUGCGCCACUAACCCCGAAGGGUUCGUUCGACUUGCAUGUGUUAGGCAUGCCGCCAGCGUUCGUUCUGAGCCAGGAUCAAACUCU